rnacentral:rRNA from 1 species
CCUACGGGAGGCAGCAGUGGGGAAUAUUGCACAAUGGGGGAAACCCUGAUGCAGCGACACCGCGUGAGUGAAGAAGUAUUUCGGUACGUAAAGCUCUAUCAGCAGGGAAGAAAAUGACGGUACCUGACUAAGAAGCCCCGGCUAACUACGUGCCAGCAGCCGCGGUAAUACGUAGGGGGCAAGCGUUAUCCGGAUUUACUGGGUGUAAAGGGAGCGUAGACGGCAGCGCAAGUCUGGAGUGAAAUCCCAUGGCUUAACCAUGGAACUGCUUUGGAAACUGUGCAGCUAGAGUGCAGGAGAGGUAAGCGGAAUUCCUAGUGUAGCGGUGAAAUGCGUAGAUAUUAGGAGGAACACCAGUGGCGAAGGCGGCUUACUGGACUGUAACUGACGUUGAGGCUCGAAAGCGUGGGGAGCAAACAGGAUUAGAUACCCCGGUAGUC